rnacentral:rRNA from 1 species
AUGAAUAGUAACAGGGCCCCUGGCUCGGAUAGCAUUCCGGCCGAGUUUUACCAACAUUGCUGGGAGAUAGUAAAAAAUGACAUCAUGAGUCUGUUUCAUGCUUUUCAUGAGGGGAAACUGGAUGUUUAUAGGUUGAACUAUGGCAUCAUUACUCUUCUUCCUAAGAUUUCUGGAGCAGAUAAGAUUCAACAAUUCAGGCCAAUAUGUCUGUUGAGAUGCCCUUAUAAACUGAUUACAAAAGUCCUAGACAAUAGAGUGGCCCUUUUUGCUGAUAUUUUAUUCAGCAAACAUCAAAAUGCCUUUAUCAAAGGCAGGAACAUUAUGGAUGGGGUCCUAUCU